CGAUACAUCGAGUUCUCCGCUUCUCCUCCUCUCAUUCUUUUUUUCAUCUCUUCUGAUUCUAAAUCUGGAUCUACAAAAUUAAACCCAAUAUUUGAGAAAUGAAAACCCAUUUCUCAUAAAUCCUUAUCUCAUAUCAAAACUAAAUAACUCAAUCUUUUAAUAAAUCAAACCCUAGAAAUCGUUUUCUUCUGUGAAGUUAAACGAUUAUGUGUGCUUGAUUCCAACCUCAAAUUAAUUUCUUCUUCUGAAGAUGAACUAAUGGAUCUUGCAGGGUAUUGUUCUGUAAAGAUUUGGUGUGCUUGAUUCCAACCGCAAGUUUCUUUCUAUGGUGAGAACUAAUGAAUAAUGCAAAAUAAAAGUUGGAGAUUUGGCAGUAGUUUGGUGGAUAUUUUUCAUUCCUAGGGGUUGUUGGCUGUAAGUGGGUGAUGCUUUUCUCUUGUUGUAGUUAUUAAUGGUGGUUUGGUAUUGAAGAUGGAGGUUCUGCAUAUGUUGGCAUGUGGGUGUCUAUUGGAGUUGUUGGUGCUCGUUUGUUGAUAAUGCUGCUGUUUUAUAAGCCUGUUCUCUUAUAAUAUUAAUACAUGUAUGGAGGAAUUUGAGUUGGGAGUCAGUAUUUUUUUUGUAUUAAGCCGUCUUAUUCGAAGUGUUACUUGGUUUUUCUUGGAUUUUGUUACAGGGUGGAGAUCUGAGAUACUGUCAGAAACGCUCAUGUUAUAAAGCCCUUUUUGAACACCUCACUGUCGUGUUUGCAAGAGAUGUGUUUUACGAAUGGUAAGGAUGGCCAGUGUUGUAUACCUUAGAUAGCUUCUGUUUGGAAUAUCGUAAAUUUUUGCAAUGAAGGACCACCAGUGUAUCUGGAUCAGUCAUGCUAACUAUAAGAUUUGUUUUGUCUUUGUUCAUGGCCAAUGGAGAAGUACGGUUUAACAAUGACUAUUUGUUGAAACAACUGAGAAACUACAGGUUUCCUUCGUGUAGCAGAUGCAAUUAAAGUUACGAGAACCAGAGUUGGUAGUUAAAUUUGUUAUUUUACUUGAAGAUGUUUCAUAUAUCUAUCCCUGUCUUGUUAUUCAGUAUUGACAAGUCAUGGAGAAUGUGUUUGUUUUGUUGCUUGCCGAGUUAUGGAAAAGGUGUUUGAUUUUCCCAGGCGGGGAAAUGUUGAAUUAGGAAAUAGGUUUAAAGAAUUUAGUUAUUUUCCCCAAAGCUAAGUCUUUAUCUUGCUGUUUUGUAGAGAUCUAUUCGAGUGGGUUGAGCUGGUUUCGGUGCUGUUCAAAUAAUGUCGUGCAUUGUGUGUGUUUCAUGUUCGUUACAAUUUACUCAUAUCUGAUUUGUAAUUGCAGAAGUGAAAGAGGAUAUCAAACUUACGAUGUGAGGUUCACUGUAGCCAAGCAUAUAUGAGAUUGUAAACCUGUGUACCUAAAGCUUGCUUAUAUAAGAUUGUGCUUGGUUUUGUAGAAGGUGGAAGGGAUGGUGAUAGUUUGGGUAGGGUGUGGUGGGGAUUUGUAUAGGGGUACAUGGAGGAGGUGAUAGUGAAGGUGGCAAUGGUGACUUUUAGUAGUGUGGGGAGGGAACUGGUGAUGACUAGUGCUCAUCGGACUGAUAUGGAGUUUUUGCGGAAAGUGUCAAAUGGAGAUCCUCAUAGUCCGAUGUUGUUGCAUCAGGUCGAUUGAAUGCCUACCAGCAGCUCUCCGUUGUUGAUAGCUCAAUGAAUGUUGUACAGGCUACAUUGGAAGUUGGAGAGGUCUAGGGGCGGAUGCACAGCCAGACUUCCGAAAAUUACAGUAAAAGUUGUCCCAGAACUCUCAAGCCCGGGUAAAAAUAUUGUCAAAGCCAGGGUUGAAUGUCCUGGAUUCUGCAUAACUCAUCAGAGAAAAGACUACCCUUACAUCGAGAUAUUUCGUAGCAACGAACAGGAAGCAGCUAACCAAGGAAAGACUAAUGAUGCAAAUACAACAAAAUAUGCAGUUAGAGUUGUCCACUUAACCUUAACCUCUUCCUCUUUUCAGACCUCAAGUUGAACUUUACCACCAGAAACAAUGUUCUAAGUAAGUUUUUUGUUAAGUUUUCUUUGAUUCCAUAUGUUCUGAACCAUAAAUUGCAUUAAAGUGACAACAUUUUGGUUUUUUCAAUAAACUUUGAGGCUUCUUAUACUUUGCAA